UGGGGAAUUUUCCGCAAUGGGCGAAAGCCUGACGGAGCAAUACCGCGUGAGGGAGGAAGGCUCUUGGGUUGUAAACCUCUUUUCUCAGGGAAGAAAAAAAUGACGGUACCUGAGGAAUAAGCAUCGGCUAACUCCGUGCCAGCAGCCGCGGUAAUACGGAGGAUGCAAGCGUUAUCCGGAAUGAUUGGGCGUAAAGGGUCCGCAGGUGGCAUUGUAAGUCUGCUGUUAAAGAGUUUGGCUCAACCAAAUAAAAGCAGUGGAAACUACAAAGCUAGAGUUUGGUCGGGGCAGAGGGAAUUCCUGGUGUAGCGGUGAAAUGCGUAGAUAUCAGGAAGAACACCAGUGGCGAAGGCGCUCUGCUAGGCCGAGACUGACACUGAGGGACGAAAGCUAGGGGAGCGAAUGGGAUUAGAUACCCCAGUAGUCCUAGCCGUAAACGAUGGAUACUAGGCGUAGCUCGUAUCGACCCGAGCUGUGCCGGAGCUAACGCGUUAAGUAUCCCGCCUGGGGAGUACGCAGGCAACUGUGAAACUCAAAGGAAUUGACGGGGGCCCGCACAAGCGGUGGAGUAUGUGGUUUAAUUCGAUGCAACGCGAAGAACCUUACCAAGGCUUGACAUGUCACGAAUCCUGUGGAAACAUAGGAGUGCCUUCGGGAGCGUGAACACAGGUGGUGCAUGGCUGUCGUCAGCUCGUGUC
rnacentral:rRNA from 1 species